rnacentral:lncRNA from 1 species
UAUUUGUAAUCAACUGAACUCAACUGUGCAGAAAAAUCAGCUUGCACACACUACACAACUAGUGCAAAAAGUGUAAAUUUUCAAGGUUGUUUCAACAACCUUCAAUAACAAUCCAAAACACUCUUAUUGGAGUUCAAAAUUCUUCAAACAAGUUCUAAUGCCCACACCCAGUUUCAGAUUUACAAAAUGUUGUAGAAAAAUAUAAAUAAUGCGAAGGAAACUUGUAUUACAUCAAUAACUUUCAUUUAAAUGCAAAAUUCUAGAAUUCAAAUAAGCUGGCAGGUUCGCUAUUCAAUUGCCUCUCAAAACUCAAACUUCAGCAACACCUUGAGCAUUAAAUUCAGCAGCAAUAGGAACAAAAAUUUUCAGCCCGGAAUGAUGACCUCAACUGUAGACACAAAGCAUUAGAAUCACAGUAAUAUUGAGUUAGAAUAACCACAAAGUAUAGUUGAAUAGUACGGGAUCUACUUUAAAAAAACAGCUCAAAACUUGAAUGUCAAUAGUGUAUUGUUGGCAUAUAAACUGAAGCAACGCAGUUGAGUUAAGUGAAGCUAAAAUCUUUGCAAAAUUCCCUCAACUGUUAAGAAAACUAUAGUAACAACAAUCAAUUAAAGAAAUGUGAAAAUCUUCAUUGUUGAGCGAAAAAUGAACAAUGCACGGCUUUGAACAGCAAGUAUGAAAUCCUUUACAACAACAGAAAACAAGCAGCAAAUUAUUUUCCAGCAAACAUGCAACUUCUGCAGCAGGUUCUAACCAACUGGGCAAUAGUUUAUGUAACAAUAGCAUUCAAUUCAACAAAGAGAACUUUUUAGAAGUAAAAACAAGAUUUCAAACUAUCACUGCUAAACUUGCGCACAAAUCUUAAUGGGCACAAAAUUUCUGCAGAGUAAGCUUAUUGUAUGCUCAACCAAAUAACAAUUCAAGCUGCUCAAUCUCUAGUCCAACUGAAUCCCCUCUAUUAAACUCAACACUAAUAACAGCUAUAAGAAACCAGUGGUAACAAGUUCAAACUAGGAGAAUUUCAUCUAUCAAUUUACUCCAAAAACUUCACAAAACUGGCAAACUUCAACAAGACAAGUUUCAAAACUCCAUAGUCUUAGCACAAAAAGAAUUGGUAUUUAAUGCAGGAUUUUCUUUCAAAAAUUGACCCACAAAAAGUUCAUAGAUUGAAUUAAAAUCACCAAACAAUGCUCCAGCAAACAAAGACUGAUCUCAACAGAACCUUCGCCAGCAUAAAAGAAGUUUGACAAGGGAAUUCCAACUUGAACUCUAAGAAUUUCAAUAGUAGAAUCCAUUGACACAACUCAAUUCACACAAUUUUCUAACGGGCAACUUCUGAAUUCUAAAACUAACCUAAGUGGCUAAAAGUGCAAAAUCUGGCUAGUUUCCGCACAAACAAGUGCUGAAUUCUAAAACUAACCUAUGUGGCUAAAAGUGGCUAGAAGUGCAAAAUUUGGCUAUGGCCCCUCAAAGCCAAGAGCCUAAGAUUUAAUAGGAAAACCAAACUCUAUGUGGGUUGCCUACGUAUCACGCCCCGAAAGACGAGAAUAAGGUUUGCGUAGUUCCGGCAAAUUGGAUACGGGCAAAAAAUAAAAAAACAGCUAAUUUUUAAAGAAAUAUUUUCUUUUGUCUUUUUUUCAAAAAUGAUGAAAAAUGUAAACUAUUUUUGGAUUUUGCCUUUUUUUAUUUUCAGAAAAUAAUAAAAAGUGUGAAAUAUUCUUUCUUUUUUUUGAAAUUUUCACAUAUACUUUGUCUCUUUUUUAAUAAAAAUAUAACAAAACAUAACUAAAUCCUACUUUCUUUAUUUUCACCCUUCACCCUCUUUUCUUUCCAUUGUUCUUUUCUUGUUUCUCACUUACCCUCAUCUAUCAUUGGUCCGCCAAAUGACGUUUAUGCCCUUGAAUGAAUGCAACAUGUAGCACAUAGGAUGCAUCAAGAUGGUCCGUUAUUUUGGGUACACUUGUCCUAGACAGACCCAACCCCUGUGUUGAGUCCCCUAACUCAAAUGCAUGAUGCAGAUAAACGUUCCUACUAGGGAUCUGGCAUGAUGUUUUGUUAUUCUAAGUUUAAGCCUGGGUAUUUGUUCUAGACUGUGUACCCGAGCGGACAACUCGAGUCAAGGAGGGGGCUACGUACGAUGGGACCCGCAAGAUCGUCCGGCUUUGUAACUUGUCCGAGCCUCUUUUUGAUUUUAAGGUAUGACACUAGCAGAAUAGGGAGUCUCGACCAGUGAGCACAUCCCCGAAUAUAAAGAGAGAAGGGUUUCGUAACAGUUUAUAUACAAUUCAAAUAAUAUCAAAGUGGUAAAAGCAUCAUUUGUUUUAAGGUACGACACCUACGGAAUAGGGAGUUUCGACCAGCGAGCACGUCCCCAAUGGUAAGAAGAGAAGGAUUUCGGAACAAUUUAUAUGUGCGGUUCAAAUAAUAUCAAAAAGAUAAAAGCAUCAUUUUGCACAUUAAGCCAACAUGUAAAAUCAAAUAAUAAACUAAGCCAAAUGCAACAAUUAUUCUAAGAUCGAAUUCUUGAAUCCUGAACCAGAGAUUCUUCUGUCCCCAACAGAGUCGCCACAGCUGUCACACCUCCUUUUCGCAUUAUGACCCGGCGAAGGGCGUAGAUAAGGGAGUUUUUUCCAAUUUAAGGACAAUCAAUGCGGGAUUCUAUUAUUUAAGAGAAUUUCAGAGUCGCCACUUGGGGGAUUUAUGGUGUCCCAAGUCAUUGGUUAGACUCCCGAAUCGAGGAAAGAAUGACUAUGUUUAACAGUUAGCGAACCAAAAAUUCGAGUAAGGAAUUUUGUUAACCCGGAAGAUGGUGUUAGGCAUUCCCGAGUUCUGUGGUUCUAGUACGGUCGAUCAACAUUUAUAUUUGGCUUAAAUUAUCUGAUUUUAGAACAUGUUUUAACUUAUGUGCUUUUUAACCUUUAACCGCUUUUAUUAUAUUUUUAAAGAAAAUUUCAACGUCAUUAAAACAAGUCUCUAACCACGUCACGUAAAUGCACCCGUGGUUUUUGACACAUUCCGAUUUCAUUGAGAUUUAGAUUUGGGUAACAUAAAUAUGCACUCGGAUUUAGGAAAGGUAACUUAUUAAACUAACGCACCUAAAGCAAUUGUACGUUCGCAACUUUGCGAGGGCCAUGGAAUUUACUGAAUGGCAUGUCUCGAAAUCUAAAUAUCAAUUCAAGAUUAAAUAACGCGAGGGCCACGCAAUUAUCAUUUUUGUUCGGCAUGGCGCACCUCAAUUCUAAAAAGAAAAUGUAUUCAACUAACUCAUGAGGGCCAUAAAAUAUUUAUAUUACUCAAUAUGGCUCACCUUAGUUUAUUUAAAGGAAAAUGCAAACAAUUAAAUGAACUAUGGUUGUUCAUAUUCACGGUUUGAUUUUCACAUCAAAAAUUACAUUGCGACCCAAUACAGCCAACGAAACACGCAAACAGUUGCGAUCCAAUUUCAAUCUUUAAGUAUUCCAUAUUAAUUCUCGUUGAACCAACCCAAUAUAGUCCUAGUAGAACAAACUAUAGUUUGUGUUCAGCAGAAUAAGCCAUUCUUGUCAUUCAAACUAAAGACAUAGAAGGGCUAAUUAAAUUAAAAAUUAUGAACGCCACCACCUAAAAAUCCACUUGAACUAUUUAUUCAGGAAGACUAUAAGUAUAUGCUGAAUCAUAGGCAAACGGAAAUACAGAAGCUAAUUUUGAAAUGAAUGCAUCCCUUUUAACUUUAAAUUCCAUGUUUGGACCGCAUUAUACAAUUAUAAGCUCAAUAACGGAAGAUAGUCUGUUAGAAUACUGAUAACCCUCAAACUACAGAAUCUUAUUCGAACCAACCUUAAGUCGGGCAAUUCAUCCAUUUCAACUCGAGAAAAUCAUAACUCAAGAAUUACUUCAAACUAGGGGUAGGCCUAUAUCGGGUAAAACCGAUAACCCGGACCAUUAAUUCUUUAUUGGGUUAAUGGUUCGGUAACGGGUAAAAAAUAAUUUUAUUGGGUUAUCGGUUCGGUAUCGGUUUGCAUUUUUAUUAUUGGGUAAAAAUCGAUAACCCAAUAAGAUAGUGAUUUACUAAUAUACCCUUAAGUAUAUACUAGGGUUUUAUUUUACUAAUUCCCUUCCCUCUUCAGUUCACUGAGUCUUCAGUCAUUAGUCGUCUCUAGUAUGUCUCUCUCAUUAUGUUUCCGCCGCAGCCCCCAACUCCCAACAGUUAAUCGCAUCGUGUAACGCCAGUGCCUAAGCCUCAAUUCUCAAGCUCACCACCAAUUCUCCGCCAGACGCCACGCUAGUGCCUGAGCCUCACCAGUUCUUCGCCAGUCACGACGACUCACUCCCUCACUCGUCAGUCGCUUCGUGUAAGUUUUGUCUCAAGAUUUUUCUGUUUGCGCCUUGUUAAUUGUUCUGUUUGCUCAAGAUUUUUGCCUCUGUUUGCUUCUGAUUUUUUCACGACGACUCACUCCCUCACUCGUCAAUCGCUUCGUGUAAGUUUUGUCUCAAGAUUUUUCUGUUUGCGCCUUUUUAGUUGUUCACUUUGCUCAAGAUUUUUGCCUCUGUUUGCUUCUGAUUUUUGCCUCUCUUUGCUUCUGAUUUUUGCCUCUGUUUUCUUUUAAAUCAAACUCACAGUGACAUAAAAACAUGGCUGAAACUUAGUAUUUAACUCUGUUGUUUAGCGAAUUAAGUUUAUCAAUAUGAUAUGGAAAAGUUAUGUAAAUUGAUUUUUCUGUCUCUAAUUUAUAAUGACAGUAUGAAACACAUUAGCAUCACAGUUCUGUCUCUAAUUUACUCACGUGAAGGUGCUUUUAAUUGUCAAAGCACUUUUAAUUUCAGCAUUCAACACUUUUAAUAUUUAGCGUUCAUCACUUUAAUUUUAGUUUUAUCUUAUCGAGUAAACCGAUAACCGAACUGAUAAUGAUCAAUUACAGAUAAGCCGAUAAUCGAUAACUAAUAUCUUAUCGGUUUGGUUAUCGGGUUAUGAUAUUUGUAAACCGAUAAUCGAUAGGCAAAACCGAUAAUUUUCAAAACCGAACACUAAUAUCUUAUCGGUUUGGUUAUCGGGUUAUGAUAUUUGUAAACCGAUAAUCGAUAGGCAAAACCAAUUAUUUCCAAAACCGAACCAAACCGACCGAUGUCCACCCCUACUUCAUACCCAUAAAUAGCCACAGGCAUUCGAGGCAUAGAAAAUGACUGUUCGAACUAGCUUUUGCUAACUGAACAUGCUUAAGCAAAUCAAAACAGUGAAUACGGGAUUCAAACAAUAAAAUGACAUGUCAAAUAUAUCUUCCAAACCCAAAUUGAGAAUAAAUGCUAACUCCCAAUCCAACCUCUAAUGAAAUUAAUCACAGACCUAUGUCUAUAAACGGAUAAGCAUAGCUCUUAGCACAUUUUCCGAUCGCCAGCCAAACAUAUAUUAGAAAAAGAAAUGUAUUGAGCCUGAAAGUGAGAUUUCAAUUUAUUUCAACAACAAAAGUAUAGUUUUAUAGAUGCGUACCUAAAUCUGAAACCAGCUAAUCGAUUGAACCCAACAAGAGUCGGAUAAGCACAAAUGGAGCUCAGCGACAACAAACAACAGCAGAAACAAUGACGAGCUCGACCAAACAACAGGAAAACUUGGUAUGGAAAUAGAAUAGAAAGAACAGUGAUACAAGAGCUCAAAAAGGACGUGAAUCAUCAGCAACUAGACCAAAAAACCUCGACUGAAAUCGCACGAGUUCGAAACAUCUCAAUAAUCAAGCAGCAAAUGUCGAUCUUAAAAACCUCCUGGAAAUCCAGAUUUUCAGAAAACUUUUCUUGUUUUUCGGAUAUAAUUGGUUUUUUUUUUUUUGAAAAUGGGUGGCUGACGUCUCCGGCGUAUCGCCGCUGCUGGUUUCCGGCAGGUGGUGGUUUGGUGGUGAGGUUGUAGAGAACGCUGGAGAUGGUCCUCUUUGUGUCUUCUGCGCAGCUGCGCUCAAUUUUUUUUUCCAAUUGUCCCCUUGUUGUGUGUUGUGUUCUAUUGUGUAUCUCUUCUAUAUUGUAUUGUGUAUGGUGUGUGUGUAUUGUUUAUAAGAAUAGCAAAGUUGCGCAGCCUUGGUGAAGAAUUUUUUUUCAGGCGUUUUUACUAUCUUCC